UGUCCCAUAGCUCAGUCAGUAGAGCAUGAGACUCUUAAUUUCAGGGUUGUGGGUUUGAGCCCCACGUUGGGCAA